rnacentral:rRNA from 1 species
GAGCGGUAGCACAGAGAGCUUGCUCUCGGGUGACGAGCGGCGGACGGGUGAGUAAUGUCUGGGAAACUGCCUGAUGGAGGGGGAUAACUACUGGAAACGGUAGCUAAUACCGCAUAAUGUCGCAAGACCAAAGUGGGGGACCUUCGGGCCUCAUGCCAUCAGAUGUGCCCAGAUGGGAUUAGCUAGUAGGUGGGGUAACGGCUCACCUAGGCGACGAUCCCUAGCUGGUCUGAGAGGAUGACCAGCCACACUGGAACUGAGACACGGUCCAGACUCCUACGGGAGGCAGCAGUGGGGAAUAUUGCACAAUGGGCGCAAGCCUGAUGCAGCCAUGCCGCGUGUGUGAAGAAGGCCUUCGGGUUGUAAAGCACUUUCAGCGGGGAGGAAGGCGUUAAGGUUAAUAACCUUGGCGAUUGACGUUACCCGCAGAAGAAGCACCGGCUAACUCCGUGCCAGCAGCCGCGGUAAUACGGAGGGUGCAAGCGUUAAUCGGAAUUACUGGGCGUAAAGCGCACGCAGGCGGUCUGUCAAGUCGGAUGUGAAAUCCCCGGGCUUAACCUGGGAACUGCAUUCGAAACUGGCAGGCUAGAGUCUUGUAGAGGGGGGUAGAAUUCCAGGUGUAGCGGUGAAAUGCGUAGAGAUCUGGAGGAAUACCGGUGGCGAAGGCGGGCCCCUGGACAAAGACUGACGCUCA